UGUGACAUGGCCCUGCUCAGGUCUUUCUCGUUUUUCUUCCCUUUGCCUUUAGGAGCCUGUACCUCCCACACCCUCACCUGGCUGAGCCGCAGUAGUUCUUCAGUGGCAAGCUUUAUGUCCUGACCCAGCUAAAGCUGCCAGUUGAAGAACUGUUGCCCUCUGCCGCUGGCUUCGAGGAGGAGAAGGAGCUGCUUUCCCCCUCAUCUGGAAGCCCUGGGUGUGUGGCUCUGCCAUCCUCACCUAUCAUGGAGCAGAGAUGAGGAAGAGCAGCCUCAGAACACAGAGGCGGGCGGAAGACGAGUGAAGGACACAGCCUGGAGAGCACAGGGACCUGUCUGGGCACCCUGCCGAAGGGGCCUAGAAAGGCCAGGAGCACCCCAGGAAGAGGAAGGACAGCCAGCCUCCAGCAAGGACAAGCGUCCAGCCAUCUUCAGCCUUUCUGCCUCCUUCAGAGAUGUGGGACCAGGUUGAAGUGUCCUCCUUCCACCUCUCCUCCACCCUGUAGUUUUUAUAUAAGCAACUUCAAGGAACAAGAGCCAGCUGUGAAAGGACAUACACAGGAAAUUCAUAAAAGAAAUUCAAUUGGAUAAAACCAUGAAAAAAAAAUGUGUGCUUCAUUAGUAAAGAGAGGCAAAUAUACCUAUAAGCAUUUUCUCCAUAGCAAGCUAUAACAGAAAAAAUAAGACCCAGCUGUUGGCAAAGGAGUACUAAAAUAACACUCCCGUACAUUGCAUAUAGGGGUACAAAUUGGUACAGCCUUCCUGGAUGUAAGUUUGGUAAUAUGUAUCAAACAUAUUACCAUGACCUUUGACCUAGUAAUUCUACAUUUGGGAAUUUAGCCUAAGAAAAUAAAGGUUUAGUUAUAAGAUGUUCGUUCCAUCAUUGCAAUAGAGAAAAAUGGGAAGCAACUGUCUGGGAAAUCAUUUCUGCUGUAAAGAAAAUUUGCAGUAGGGGAUUGCUUAAGUAAAUUAUUGUAUAUCUAUCCAGGUGGUGGAGUAAUGUGCAGCCAUUAAAAGUCAUGUAGAAGAGUACUUGAAAAGAAAAAUGUUCUUUGAAUAUUAAAAAGAUUACUAAAAA